AGUCUCUGGUGGAAACCAGGGAGAUGGAACCCUGGCACUCCAUGGGCCAAGCCCCAGGACUCCACCCUGCGCAGCACCCGAGCGCAUGGCAGCCCGCACACGCUGUCCCCGACACCCUCUGCUGGCUUGCGUCAACCACUCUCUCAAGGCGUCUUCCUGCCCGACUCUCUGCACACUCGGCCUUGGUUUCUCCUGAGAGCAGCCAUCAGGAGCGCUCCUACUCGCCCAAUGCAGCCUCUGCCCACCUUCCUGCCUCUGGCUCCGGC
rnacentral:lncRNA from 1 species